CGCCCCUUCCGGGAGAUCUCCAUGGGACCUCUGGGCCAGGAAAAUUGGAAUGGGUUUCAAUGGAGAGAAAGUACUUAUUUUUAUCAUACCAAUUAUUGUCAUUAUAGGAUUUACAUUUGUUUAAAGCAAUGAAGCCUUCAAUAAGUUGUGUUGAUGGAUAGUACAUACUCCCACUUGAUAUUCUUUCCACAGGAAGCUCAUUUUUAGGUUGGAUUCUUGUCAAGAGAUUUCUGCAGUAGUAGUGAAAAUGUAGACUUUAUUUAAAUCCUUUAAUUAUAAAGACCUGUAACUCUUUUUCACUUGUGUUUAUUUGUGACUCAUUUUCUCAUUUUCUCCUUCCUUUGCCAGGGCAUCUGGACCAGGUACAGCAGUGCCUGUACCUGGCCCAGUGUAGGCACCGGCCUGUGGUGCAGCCCCCCUCGGAGACCACAGAGAAGUACGAGCAGCUAGCUGAACUCCUAGAGGCAUGUCUCCAAAUGGACUCUGCCAACAGGUCCAGCUGCUCUGAGCUGCUCGGCCAGGAUUAUUUCACCUGGGAGCAUUUCCCUGACAGGUAACAAACCUAUGAUUCUGUGAGGGAUCUGUGAACGUGACUUCCUAAU
rnacentral:lncRNA from 1 species